rnacentral:rRNA from 1 species
GACAGAGGUGGCAAGCGUUGUCCGGAAUUACUGGGCGUAAAGCGCGCGUAGGCGGCUAGAUAAGUCCGGUGUGACAUCCCACAGCUUAACCGGGGAACGGCAUCGGGGACUGUUUAGCUUGAGGACGGGAGAGGAGAGCGGAAUUCCCGGUGUAGCGGUGAAAUGCGUAGAGAUCGGGAGGAAGGCCGGUGGAGAAGGCGGCUCUCUAGAACGUCCCUGACGCUGAGGCGCGAAAGCGAGGGGAGCAAACAGG